rnacentral:rRNA from 1 species
AUGAACGCUGGCGGCGUGCCUCAUACAUGCCAGUCGAGCGAACAGACGAGGAGCUUGCUCCUCUGACGUUAGCGGCGGACGGGUGAGUAACACGUGGAUAACCUACCUAUAAGACUGGGAUAACUUCGGGAAACCGGAGCUAAUACCGGAUAAUAUAUUGAACCGCAUGGUUCAAUAGUGAAAGACGGUUUUGCUGUCACUUAUAGAUGGAUCCGCGCCGCAUUAGCUAGUUGGUAAGGUAACGGCUUACCAAGGCGACGAUGCGUAGCCGACCUGAGAGGGUGAUCGGCCACACUGGAACUGAGACACGGUCCAGACUCCUACGGGAGGCAGCAGUAGGGAAUCUUCCGCAAUGGGCGAAAGCCUGACGGAGCAACGCCGCGUGAGUGAUGAAGGUCUUCGGAUCGUAAAACUCUGUUAUUAGGGAAGAACAAAUGUGUAAGUAACUAUGCACGUCUUGACGGUACCUAAUCAGAAAGCCACGGCUAACUACGU